CGCCUGUUUUAUCAAAAACAUGGUUUCUUGUAAUUAUUUAAGAGAUCUGACCUGCCCACUGAAGAUAUUUUGAAGGGCCGCAGUAUUUUGACUGUGCAAAGGUAGCAUAAUCAUUAGUCUUUUAAUUGAAGGCUGGUAUGAAUGGUUGGAUGAGGUAAAUUCUGUUUUAUGUUAAUUGGUGUUGAAUUUAGAUUUUAAGUAAAAAUACUUAAAUGUUAUUAAGGGACGAGAAGACCCUAUAGAGUUUAAUAAAUGUAGUAAAUAAUUGAGUUAAAUCUUAAUUUUUGGUUUUUAUGUAAUUUAUUUAAUUGGGGUGAUUGGAAAGAUAAAAUAAACUCUUCUUUGUAUUUAAUAAAUUAAUUAGUUUUAUGAUCCAUAUUUAAUGAUUAAAAGAUUAAAUUACCUUAGGGAUAACAGCAUAAUUCUUUUUAAGAGUUCAUAUCGAAAAAAGAGAUUGUGACCUCGAUGUUGGAUUAAGAUUAGUUAUGGGUGCAGAUGUUCAAUAACUAGGUCUGUUCGACCUUGAAAAUCUUACAUG
rnacentral:rRNA from 1 species